GCACCUACGGGACGCAGCAGUGGGGGAUAUUGGACAAUGGGGGAAACCCUGAUCCAGCGAUGCCGCGUGAGGGAAGAAGGUUUUCGGAUUGUAAAGUUCUUUUCUAAGGGAAGAAGAAAGUGACGGUACCUUAGGAAUAAGCCUCGGCUAACUACGUGCCAGCAGCCGCGGUAAUACGUAGGAGGCAAGCGUUAUCCGGAAUGACUGGGCGUAAAGGGUGCGUAGGUGGUUUGACAAGUUGGUAGCGUAACUCCGGGGCUCAACCUCGGCACUACUACCAAAACUGUUGGACUUGAGUGCAGGAG
rnacentral:rRNA from 1 species